ensembl:rRNA 5S_rRNA 5S ribosomal RNA
AUCUACAGCCAUGCCACCCUGAACAAGCCCGAUCUGGUCUGAUCUCGGAAGCUAAGCAGGGUUGGGCCUGGUUGGUACUUGGAUGGGAGACCACAUAGUCAUAAAAAACUAAUUAAUUGAUUGAUU